rnacentral:rRNA from 1 species
GACGAACGCUGGCGGCGUGCUUAACACAUGCAAGUCGAACGGAAAGGCCCUGCUUUUGUGGGGUGCUCGAGUGGCGAACGGGUGAGUAACACGUGAGUAACCUGCCCUUGACUUUGGGAUAACUUCAGGAAACUGGGGCUAAUACCGGAUAGGAGCUCCUGCUGCAUGGUGGGGGUUGGAAAGUUUCGGCGGUUGGGGAUGCACUCGCGGCUUAUCAGCUUGUUGGUGGGGUAGUGGCUUACCAAGGCUUUGACGGGUAGCCGGCCUGAGAGGGUGACCGGCCACAUUGGGAAUGAGAUACGGCCCAGACUCCUACGGGAGGCAGCAGUGGGGAAUAUUGCACAAUGGGCGGAAGCCUGAUGCAGCAACGCCGCGUGCGGGAUGACGGCCUUCGGGUUGUAAGCCGCUUUCGCCUGUGACGAAGCGUGAGUGACGGUAAUGGGUAAAGAAGCACCGGCUAACUACGU